rnacentral:rRNA from 1 species
AUACGUAGGGGGCGAGCGUUGUCCGGAAUGAUUGGGCGUAAAGGGCGCGCAGGCGGCCCGGUAAGUCUGGAGUGAAAGUCCUGUUUUUAAGAUGGGAAUUGCUUUGGAUACUGUCGGGCUUGAGUGCAGGAGAGGUAAGUGGAAUUCCCAGUGUAGCGGUGAAAUGCGUAGAGAUUGGGAGGAACACCAGUGGCGAAGGCGACUUACUGGACUGUAACUGACGCUGAGGCGCGAAAGUGUGGGGAGCAAACAGGAUUAGAUACCCUGGUAGUCCACACUGUAAACGAUGAAUGCUAGGUGUAGGGGGUAUCGACCCCUUCUGUGCCGCAGUCAACACAAUAAGCAUUCCGCCUGGGGAGUACGGCCGCAAGGUUGAAACUCAAAGGAAUUGGCGGGG